UACAGAGACCUCAAGCGUUAUCCGGAUUUAUUGGGCGUAAAGCGUCCGCAGGUUCCAAGCAAAGUCUGUCGUUAAAGCCCGGGGCUCAACCCUGGGACAGCGUCGGAUACUGGCCUGGUAGAGGGCGGGAGAGGCGAACGGAAUUGCCGGUGUAGUCGUAAUAAGCGCUGAUAUCGGCAAGAACACCAAAUGCGAAGGCAGUUCGCUGGAACGCACCUGACACUCAUGGACGAAAGCGUGGGGAGCAAACAGG
rnacentral:rRNA from 1 species